UUAAGUUCAGCGGGUAUUCCUACCUGAUCCGAGGUCAACCUUCAGAAGUGUUGCGCUGGUGCGCAGCAGUUUUACGGCGUGGCCGCGCCGAGAUCCGGUGCGAGGUGUAAUUACUACGCAGAGGAUGCUACGGCGGGACCGCCACUGAUUUUCGGGGCCGGCCCCUCCUGUGACCGCACGGGGCGGGGGAGGAGCCGAUC
rnacentral:misc_RNA from 1 species